UGACACAAGAUACAAAAAAAAGGGAUAAACAAGCAGCUUCUGAAGUGAAAAAAAUGUAAGAAUUGAGUCCAAGUUCAUUGGCUACAUUAAUGAAUGAAGUGCAGAACAUAUCUAUAACAAUUCCUGCUAACUGGGAAUCAGAGGAUUCAAUCAUAUUUGAAUGUAUAUUUCUUACAAGAAUCACUUGGCUAUCGAUAAUAUCAAGUAAGCAUGUCUCUAAUUUUAUGGGCUAUAGCCCAUCUUGGCCAGAAAAGUUUAUUAGCCUGAGACUGGAGCUGGGAUUGGUGGCGGCGAAGAGUUUUUGUGUGUAACUUUCUAGAUCCGUAUCAUUGGGGAACUUCAUGAUUAAAACAGUGAUGGACAUGCGGGCAUCAUUUUGGAGUAACAUCAUUUAUUGAUGAUGCAAUAGAUACCAAUUUGGUAAUUGUUACCUUCAUAGAACUUCCACUUGAAGAAUUCGUUAAUCGAUUCACAGAUUUUCUGCUAAAAGAUACAAUCUGUUCUCAAUAUUCGAUUCAACAAAACGAGUAUGGCUUUUUCUAAAGGAAACAAGAUCAACGAUGGAACCAGUUUUCAGAAAUUGGAGCUGGUUCUCUGCACCAGCGGCUGCGGCUUCUAUGGUACGGCAGCGACGAUGGAUCUAAAUAUAUUUGUAGACAAUAGUGCAAGAAAGCCUACAGAAGGAUAUGAGGGACAGAGAGAGCGGCAGAAAUGAAAAUCAACCAAAAUCAACAUCACCACCACCACAAUCAAACAUACCACCACCAAAUCAACCAAAAUCAAUAGCGAACUUCACCUCGCCCAAACCGCAGUCGGCGUUGAAGAAAGAGGAGAUUGAGACUGGCCCAAACGAAUGGGUCGCCUCCCCCACGCCAGCGCCAACAUCGGCGCAUCACUUUCGUCACCUCCCCACGCUGAAGUCGGCAUUGAGAAGAGAGUUGAAAGAAGAGAGAAGGGAACGGAAGAGAGAAGGGAGAUGAGGAGACGGCUCAGUUUCUCUCCCCUAUUUUUGCGUGUUUUCAGAUGUUUG
rnacentral:lncRNA from 1 species